AAAGGGAGACGAAUCUGAAGAGGCUCCAGACCCCAUGACUAUUCUUGACAAUGUUAAUGACAAUGCUUUUUUUGAGCAAAAUCCAGAAUUAUCCUUUCAACCCAAGCCUGAUCAAGAAAUUAUUGUUAAUAAAUUAGCGGGACAUGAAGCUACGGUACAUUUACAAACAAACGGAGACGAACCUAAAAAUGAUCCAGAAACAAUUAUGACCUACACUAUUCUCGAAAAUGUUAUUGACAGUGUUAUUUCUGUGGUAACUCAAAAUCCAGAGGUAUCUCUGCAACCCAAAGGUGAUCAAGAAGUUAUUAUCAAUGAACCAUUAGCAGGAGGAGCCACUGAAACUACCGACCUUGAUAAAGACAACAUCCCUAUUAUUAUUAUACAACCAAAUGGAACAGUUGUUUCUAAUGAGGAAUUCAUUCAGUGCUGCGGUAGGUAAGGAUAAAGACCUUGACUUCCUGAUGAACGAAAGUGUUCUGGAAAGAAAGUGCUAAAAUUAUGACGUUUCCAUUUGAUAAUAAUAGUUCAAGUAUAGAAAGUUAUGAUCCCCAGUCUAAGCAAACAGUGGCAACUCUUCAGAACAGUAAAUCCACAUGAUAGAUAAACAAGCAAUGGCUAUGAAUAUUGACAGAGAAGAUAAUGAUAAUAAUGAAGAAGACAUUAGUUCAGAAGAUCAAAGCAGUGAUCGGGCUAGCACUGGUUUGUCCAAACAUAAAAUCAAAAAACCAAAUAAAAGGCUAGAAAAAAAAAACUAAAGAGUUCUGGUGUAAAUAAAGCAGUAAAGGCGAAUCCAUGUGCCGUGAAAAAAUGUCAGAAUAAUUGUAAAUCGGUAAGUGAAACUGACAGAAAGCAAAUAUUUAAUGCCUAUUAUUAUAUAUAUAUCUAAUAUAUAUAUAUAUAUAGUAGUAUGUCAUAUCAAGGAUAUUACUGUGGGAGUUACAGCCGUGUAUAAGCCACCUCCUAUUUCAAAAGAUCUUUUUAUUCAGGAUUUGGAAGAAUUCUUAAGUUUAAAUAACAAUAAUCAACAACUAGAAAUAUUUACUGGGAACGUUAAUAUAGAUCUAUUAAAUCUUGAAGAUAAUAAUGUUAUUAAGUAUUCAACUGUAAUGUCACAAUCGGGCUAUUUAUCUUAUAUAAAUUCAAUUACACGACCAGACAUCAAAACUAAUUUAGAUCACAUUUUCUUAAAAUGUAAAAAUAUUCCCGUAAAA